GCGCCUGUGGCAGCACAAUGGGUCAGUGUGUCUGGCAGCUAACCAGAAGGUUGGUGGCUUGAGCCCACCCAGGGACA